UACGUAGGGUGCGAGCGUUAAUCGGAAUUACUGGGCGUAAAGCGUGCGCAGGCGGCGCGUUAAGACAGGUGUGAAAGCCCCGAGCUAAACUUGGGAAUUGCGCUUGUGACUGGCGUGCUGGAGUGUGGCAGAGGGAGGUGGAAUUCCACGUGUAGCAGUGAAAUGCGUAGAGAUGUGGAGGAACACCGAUGGCGAAGGCAGCCUCCUGGGCCAGCACUGACGCUCAUGCACGAAAGCGUGGGGAGCAAACAGG
rnacentral:rRNA from 1 species